rnacentral:ncRNA from 1 species
GUUCUGUAACUUUGGGAGAAGGGAUGGCUUUGAAGGUUGAUCCAGUCAGGUUGACAGUAGAAGUAUUUACGACAUUGUGUUGUCGCCGGAUGCACCUCGCGUCUGUCCGGAUGAUGACCGAAGUUGUGUUUAUAGACAUUGUUAGCUGUUUCGGUUUAUUAUGAAAUGAUUGGAAAUUAUUAAAUAUUUCAGAACGGGCACGAACUGAGGGAAUCCGACUGUCUAAUUAAAACAAAACAUUGUGAAGUCCAGUAAUUGAUUACGACACAAUGUGAUUUCUGCCCAGUGCUCUGGAUGUCAAAGUGAAGAGAUUCUUUGAAGCGCGGGUAAAGGGCGAGAGUAACUAUGAUGUUAUGUUCACGGCAUAGCUAACGAAAAUGUGGUUAAAAAUGAAAGGAAAUAGUCGUUUGUAC